UCCCCGUUACCGGGGCAGUCUGAUUAGAAAAAUCCAACUAAUCAUAAGGGUUGCGCUCGUUGAAGGACUUAACCUAACAUCUCACGACACGAGCUGACGACGGCCAUGCAACACCUGUCACUGAGUUCCGGCUCUCAAUACAUAAACACAUUAUGUACUCAGAGCCGGCACUCACUGCUUUCGCAGUAAUCCUCAGGAUGUCAAGUCUGGGUAAGGUUCUUGGCUUAGCAUCCAAUUAAACAACACGCUCCACCGCUUGUGCGGGUCCCCGUCAAUUCCUUUGAGUUUCAGUCUUGCGACCGUACUCCCCAGGCGGCGAACUUAACGCGUUAGCUUCGAUACUGCGUGCCAAAUUGCACCCAACAUCCAGUUCGCAUCGUUUAGGGCGUGGACUAC
rnacentral:misc_RNA from 1 species